rnacentral:rRNA from 1 species
AUACGAAGGGGGCUAGCGUUGUUCGGAAUUACUGGGCGUAAAGCGCACGUAGGCGGAUAUUUAAGUCAGGGGUGAAAUCCCAGAGCUCAACUCUGGAACUGCCUUUGAUACUGGGUAUCUUGAGUAUGGAAGAGGUAAGUGGAAUUCCGAGUGUAGAGGUGAAAUUCGUAGAUAUUCGGAGGAACACCAGUGGCGAAGGCAGCUUACUGGUCCAUUACUGACGCUGAGGUGCGAAAGCGUGGGGAGCAAACAGGAUUAGAUACCCCAGUAGUCC